GAUGAACGCUGGCGGCGUGCCUAAUACAUGCAAGUCGAGCGAACAGACGAGGAGCUUGCUCCUCGGACGUUAGCGGCGGACGGGUGAGUAACACGUGGAUAACCUACCUAUAAGACUGGGAUAACUUCGGGAAACCGGAGCUAAUACCGGAUAAUAUAUUGAACCGCAUGGUUCAAUAGUGAAAGACGGUUUUGCUGUCACUUAUAGAUGGAUCCGCGCCGCAUUAGCUAGUUGGUAAGGUAACGGCUUACCAAGGCAACGAUGCGUAGCCGACCCGAGAGGGUGAUCCGCCACCCUGGAACUGAGACACGGUCCAGACUCCUACGGGAGGCAGCAGUAGGGAAUCUUCCGCAAUGGGCGAAAGCCUGACGGAGCAACGCCGCGUGAGUGCUGAAGGUCUUCGGAUCGUAAAACUCUGUUAUUAGGGAAGAACAAAUGUGUAAGUAACUAUGCACGUCUUGACGGUACCUAAUCAGAAAGCCACGGCUAACUACGUG
rnacentral:rRNA from 1 species